AAGUUUAGGUUAAGCAAACUAGGGGCCUUCAAAGCCCCAGAUAUGAGCACUACCCUCCUAACUCCU
rnacentral:tRNA from 1 species